rnacentral:rRNA from 1 species
CUCAUGAUGAACGCUGGCGGCGUGCUUAACACAUGCAAGUCGAACGAAGAAGGUUGGAAUGAGAGCUUCGGCAGGAUUUCUUUCCAUCUUAGUGGCGGACGGGUGAGUAACGUGUGGGCAACCUGCCCUGUACUGGGGAAUAAUCAUUGGAAACGAUGACUAAUACCGCAUGUGGUCCUCGGAAGGCAUCUUCUGAGGAAGAAAGGAUUUAUUCGGUACAGGAUGGGCCCGCAUCUGAUUAGCUAGUUGGUGAGAUAACAGCCCACCAAGGCGACGAUCAGUAGCCGACCUGAGAGGGUGAUCAGCCACAUUGGGACUGAGACACGGCCCAAACUCCUACGGGAGGCAGCAGUGGGGAAUAUUGCACAAUGGGCGAAAGCCUGAUGCAGCAACGCCGCGUGAAGGAUGGAGGGUUUCGGCUCGUAAACUUCUAUCAAUAGGGAAGAAACAAAUGACGGUACCUAAAUGAGAAGCCCCGGCUAACUACGUGCCAGCAGCCGCGGUAAUACGUAGGGGGCAAGCGUUAUCCGGAAUUACUGGGUGUAAAGGGAGCGUAGGCGGCAUGGUAAGCCAGAUGUGAAAGCCUUGGGCUUAACCCGAGGAUUGCAUUUGGAACUAUCAAGCUAGAAUACAGGAGAGGAAAGCGGAAUUCCUAGUGUAGCGGUGAAAUGCGUAGAUAUUAGGAAGAACACCAGUGGCGAAGGCGGCUUUCUGGACUGAAACUGACGCUGAGGCUCGAAAGCGUGGGGAGCAAACAGGAUUAGAUACCUUGGUAGUCCACGCCGUAAACGAUGAGUGCUAGGUGUCGGGGAGGAAUCCUCGGUGCCGCAGCUAACGCAAUAAGCACUCCACCUGGGGAGUACGACCGCAAGGUUGAAACUCAAAGGAAUUGACGGGGGCCCGCACAAGCGGUGGAGCAUGUGGUUUAAUUCGAAGCAACGCGAAGAACCUUACCAAGGCUUGACAUCCCGAUGACCGCUCUAGAGAUAGAGCUUCUCUUCGGAGCAUCGGUGACAGGUGGUGCAUGGUUGUCGUCAGCUCGUGUCGUGAGAUGUUGGGUUAAGUCCCGCAACGAGCGCAACCCUUAUCUUCAGUAGCCAUCAUUCAGUUGGGCACUCUGGAGAGACUGCCGUGGAUAACACGGAGGAAGGUGGGAUGACGUCAAAUCAUCAUGCCCCUUAUGUCUUGGGCUACACACGUGCUACAAUGGCUGGCAACAAAGUGACGCAAGACGGCGACGUUAAGCAAAUCACAAAAACCCAGUCCCAGUUCGGAUUGUAGUCUGCAACUCGACUACAUGAAGCUGGAAUCGCUAGUAAUCGCGAAUCAGCAUGUCGCGGUGAAUACGUUCCCGGGCCUUGUACACACCGCCCGUCACACCAUGGGAGUUGGAAGCACCCGAAGUCGGUGACCUAACCGUAAGGAAGGAGCCGCCGAAGGUG